ACAGCAGCCGCCGCGGUAAUACGAAGGGGCUAGCGUUGUUCGGAUUUACUGGGCGUAAAGGGUGCGUAGGCGGAUUGUUAAGUCAGGGGUGAAAUCCCGAGGCUCAACCUCGGAACUGCCUUUGAUACUGGCGAUCUUGAGUCCGGGAGAGGUGAGUGGAACUGCGAGUGUAGAGGUGAAAUUCGUAGAUAUUCGCAAGAACACCGGUGGCGAAGGCGGCUCACUGGCCCGGUACUGACGCUGAGGCACGAAAGCGUGGGGAGCAAACAGGAUUAGAUACCCCUGUAGUCCCUGUCUCUUAUACC
rnacentral:rRNA from 1 species